rnacentral:rRNA from 1 species
AAGCGUGCGCAGGCGGUUAUAUAAGACAGAUGUGAAAUCCCCGGGCCUCAACCUGGGAACUGCAUUUGUGACUGUAUAGCUGGAGUGCGGCAGAGGGGGAUGGAAUUCCGCGUGUAGCAGUGAAAUGCGUAGAUAUGCGGAGGAACACCGAUGGCGAAGGCAAUCCCCUGGGCCUGCACUGACGCUCAUGCACGAAAGCGUGGGGAGCAAACAGGAUUAGAUACCCCAGU